UCUAAUGUGUCAUUUAAAGACAUUGUUUCCUAUUUACUUUUUGCUUGGAUGAUCCAUCCAUUGAUAGAAGUGGCAUACCAAUGUCCCCUGCUAUUAUUGAAUUACUAUCAAUUUCUGUUUUUAUGUCUGUUUUUAUUUGUUUUAUGUAUUUUGAUGCUCUGAUGUUGAAUGUAUAGGUAUUUACAAUUGUUAUAUUCUCUUCUUAGAUUGGCCCCCUUAACCUUAUGUAAUGUCCUCUUUAUCUUUGUUACAAUAUUAUUUUAAAUGUCUCUUUUGUCUCCAGAGAAAGACAGAUACCAUAUGAUUUCACUCAUAUGUGAAAUUUAGGAAACAAACCAGAUGAACAUAGAGGAAGGGAAGGAAAAAUAAGAUAAAAACAGAGAGGGAGGCAAACCAUAAGAGACUCUUAACUGUAGAGAACAAACUGAGGGUUUCUGGAAGGGAGGUGGGGAGGAUGGGCUAAAUGGAUGAUGGGCAUUAAGGAGGGUAUUUGUUGGGAUGAGCACUGGGUGUUAUAUAUAAGUGAUGAAUCACUAAAUUCUACUCCUGAAAUCAAUACUAUACUACGUGUUAAUUAACUUGAAUUCAAAUGAAAUUUUGAAAAAAAGAAUAAAUGAAACUUUGGAAGAGAAAAAAAUGAAAGUGUCUUUUGUCUGAUAUAAGUAUUACUACUCUGGCUUUCUUUUCAUUCCCAUUUUCAUAGAAUAUCUUUUUCCAUCCCUUCAAUUUCAGGUUCUCUGUCUUUAGGGUCUGAAGCGAGUCUCUUCCAAACAGCAUAUAGAUAAGUCCUGUGUUAUUUUUUUGUAACCCAUUUCUGCAACCCUAUGCCUUUUUAUUGGAACAUUUCGACUAUUUACAUUUAAAGAAUUACUGAUAAUUAUGUACUUGUUGACAUUUCUUCAUUAUUUUCUGUUUUUGUUUGUUUGUUUUUGUUUUUUGGUUUUUGGGGUUUUUUUAGUUCUCUGUUUCCUUUUUCUUCUUUUCUUCUCUUUCCUUGUGAUUGAUGACUUUGUAGUGUUAUGCUUGGCUUUGUUUCUCUUUAUUUUUUGUUUAUCUGUUACAGGUUGUGAGUUUGUGAUUAUCAUGAGGUUCACACAUAGGAUCUUGAGUAUAUAGCAGUCUGUAUUAAGUUAGAAGUCAUUUAAUUUCAAAUAUGUUCUAAAAGAUUUUUUUUUACUCACUCCUCCAUGUUUUAUGCAUAUGUUGUCAUAUUUUACAUAUUUCUAUUCAUAACUUUCUUAUUUCUAAUUAUGGCCUGUUCUUUUCCACUUAAAGAAAUCCCUUUAACAUUUCUUGUAAGCCUGGUAUAAUGGUGAAAUUCUCCUUUAAAGUUUUUUUUUUUUUUUUUUUUUUUUUUUGGUCUGGGAAACUGUUUAUCUCUCCUCUAAUUCUGAAUGAUAAUCUUGCUGGGUAGACUGUUCUAGAUUGUAUGUUUUUUUUUUUUUUCCUUUUCAGCCCUUUGACUAUAUCAUGCCACUCCUUUUUGAGGUGACCUACUUGGAGAGAACAGAGCUAAUGAGAAGUUGCUAUACUUUUCAUCACUGUCCUCAAGCAUCUCAAAGAGAAGCAACAAGAACUAUAACAAAAGAAGAAGCAAAUUUAGUACCAUUAGCAUGUGGAGCCUCGAUUUUACAGUUGCCUCCCUUCUCAAAUACCAACCCCUUGAUCAGGUGGAGAAGGUACAGAAGAGAGGAAGAAAAGAGUGGGGGAGAGAUAAUGAACAGCACAUGUCCCUCUUUAUCACAAUCAAGAACUAGCAGCUCCACACACAUCUACCCAAGGGGUAAAAUUUUUUCUACUUCUAAGACAGAUUUGCAACAAGGAACUAAUAAUAAAACCCAAAUUUUAUGGAACUAUGUACCAAAAAGAAUCUUUAAACCUAAAGUAACUGGAGUGGGUGGGACUGGACUGCAUCUUUUCUGUUGAUCUAGAACUGAGCUUUCUACUGCUGACUUGAAAUUAGGGCUGAUCAAAUAAUUUAUCUCUAAUUAUGAGAAUAAACUGAGCUUCAGGUUUUCAUGUAACUAAGAUUCUGGAGACUUCAGUCAAAACAGUUUAUAUCUGGUUGGCCUUAGAGGUCUUUGACUUAUCUGGUAAAAGGAAGCAGGAAAGGGCAUAAAACAAAGGAUCUCUCAGGGUCUAAGGUUUUCCCAUGAUGUGUUCUAGCAUUUCCAUGUAAUGAUACUGAAUUAGUAAAUUCUUAAGGAAAUAUAUCGAAAAUAUUAGGAGAAAAUGGCCUAGGAGAAUUCAAAUAAUUUUCUUAAAAUGUCUUGGUGGUAGCUGCCUAAAACAUUUUUACAUCUCAAAAGCACUUAUACUCUUCCAGUUCAAGAUUUAGGAAGCUAUUACCAAAUUCCCUCUGUAGCUUACCUUUUUCUACACACCUCUUUGCUGAAAUUCUAUAGAUUUAAACAUUGUUAAUUGGGUUAAACUCACUUCUUAGUUCUGUCACUGGCAACAGGUUUUCCUUGAUAGAACCAAAAUGGUUUUGUCAAGAAUGGAGCAUCUAAUUUAAUCAGUAUUUUAUUUUUUCCCCUGAUUAUGAAAGUAAGACAUGUCCAUUGUAGAACAUUUGGAAACAGAAAGGUAUAAAGCAGGAAAUAAAAAUUACGCAUAAUCCCAAUCCGCAAAGGUAUCCACUGCUACCAUUUUUGUAAAAAUUUCAGCCUUAUUUCUUUCAUCUACUUGCAUACACAAACAUGGGAAUACUUACACACACACACACACACACACACACACACACACACCCCUCUUAUGUAAUUGGUAUAAUUGUACGUACAUAGAAUUUUGCAUUCUGAUACUCUUUACCAUGGUAUUUUUCUCAUGUCAGUAAGUAUUAUUUGCUAAUGUGAUUUGAAUGGCUGUACAAAAUUCCACUGAGAAUACAGGAGAAACUUAAUCCAUUACCUUAUUAUAAAGUAAGAUAAAAACAGAGAGGGAAGCAAACCAUGAGAGUCUCUUAAAUUCAGAGAACAAAUUGAGGGUUGUUGGAGGGGAGGUGGGUGGGGUAAUGGGCUAACUAGGUGAUGGGUAUUAAGGAGGGCACUCGUUGGGAUGAGCACUUGUUAUAUGUAAGUGAUGAAUCACUGGGUUCUACUCCUAUAACCAAUACUACACUGUAUGUUAACUAACUUGAAUUUAAAUAAAUAAAUUUUUAAAAAUAAAAUGUUUAAGAUAUUUCUAUAUUUUACUCUAAAAUAUAUAAUGGGAGAAUUUCUAUCUCUGGCCAAGAUGGAAUUGCCUCUUACUCUCAAGUUCUUCCUCAUACAACUAAAAAUAAAGCAUAAGAAAACUCUGAAAAGUGAAAAGAAGAAAAGAGAGAGCCUGGAGACCUUGGGACUUGAGCAACACAGGAGAGCAUCCUGUUGGGUUUUGUUUUCCUCUUAUAUAUCCUGGACAUUGUGCUGGAGAAACUUACAAUCCAAAAUUGCCAAUAAACAUAGAUAUAAAGGGCCCCAAAGAAAGUUGAUUCUCUUUCCAAAUCAUGUAGGCGAGGGCAGCAAAUUAGAACAGAGAGCAUUUUUGAUAGUGUCCAUGCCAGCCAAGCCAAACAUCAAUGGAUAAAUGGUUCCCUAAUUCUUCUAUCAGGGUGGUAUUGGUGGGACUUCCAUCUCCUGCCCGGUAAUCGUAGGCAAUACUUUGAUUCCACUACCUGAGUAGUGUCAAUAAGGCCAAGUAGGAAGAUGGGUUUUCACUGUCACCCAACAGAAAUGAAGUAGAAAGAGUAGUGUGAGGCAAUGUUACUUCUCUCUCUUCUUCAUACCCACUUUUCUCCAGUGUCAGAGGGGCCCUGUAGGGAGCUGAAGUUCUAACUCCGCCCAGAAGCAACAAGGUAGAAUGAGGCAGUUUAAGACUCUUUACUUUCAACUCCCCUAGUUUCAGUGGGGCCAUAGAAAAGCUGAGCUUUCAUUCUCACCCAGAAUAAUUAAAAUAGAAUCAGAUAGUGUAAGUGGUGCUUUUCUUUUCCCUCACUUGCAGUAAGAGAGGUUUAGACAGAGCUGAAUUUCCAUUGUAACCCAACAUCAAUAAGUCAGAAUAUGUCAAUAAGGCUAUGCAAUGUAGUGCUUGAUGGUAGUUUACUUACCCCAAUCUGAAGUCAGUGGGAACUCAACUUCCUCAUACACCUGAAAUAACUGAGAUGGAACAAGUGCAAGGUGAUGCUAGUUAGCUACCAUAUCUGUCCUCAUCAGGGAACAAUAGAGAGCUGAACUGCCACCCAAAACCAGUGGCAAUGAGACACUAUAAGUCAGUGCAACAUUUUUACUGGGAAGGAGUCACUAGAACGGAAAAAGGUGCUAAUCUUUUACUGUUACCCAUUGGCAAAAUGGCAGAGCAAGUUAGGGCCAUUCUUUGGCCAGGAUGGUGUCAGCAGGGACCAGUGGGGAAUUGAACAUUCACCCCUCAACAUUGCAGUGACUCGGAUGUUGGAAAUAUCUGACAGGUGUUUUAAAGCAGCAAUCAUAAAUAUGUUUCAAUUAAUUAUGGUGAACACUCUAGAAAAAGUGAAAAAUAGAAAAUCACAACAAAACAUAAAAUAUAAAAUAAAGUCAAAGGGAAAUUAUAGAAUCAGUAAAUACAAUUACUAAAAUAAAGAAUAAAAAAACAUUCUGGGUGGCCAAGUAGUAGAUUGAAGACAAUAAAAGAAAGAAUCCAUGAACUCAAAAACAGAACAAUAGAAACUACCAGAUAUGAACAACAGAUUGAAAAUAUACACAAACAAAUAAGCACAGUCUCAGGGAUGGUGGGACAAUAAUAAAAUAAAAGAUCUAACAUUUAUGUUGUCCAAGAGGAGAGAAGAAAGAAUUUGAGGUGAAAGAGUAUUAAAAUAAAUAAUGGCUGAAAACUUCCAAAAUUUGGCAAGUGUCAUAAAUCUGCAGAUUUAAGAUGAUAAACCCAAAGAAAAUCCAUAUCAAGACGUGGCACAUACAAACUUCCAAAAACUAGAGACAAAGAAAAAUACUGAAAACAACCAGAGAGAAAUGAUGCAUUACCUACAUGGAAACAAUAACUCAAAUAACAGUGGAUUUCUCAUAAAAAGCAAUGAAGACCAGAUGAAAAUG